rnacentral:sRNA from 23 species
AAACAAAGAGAUCAACACUAGUCAGCGAUAUUCGCCCACUAGUGCGAAACUG